GGAGUUAGGCAGGUUCAUAUCACUUGGCAAUCGUGUAUUGGAUAAAUCUAUAGAUUAUAAGGUGGUUUUGUUGAAUAAAGAAAAAGGGGAAGUGUGUGUGGAUUCAUGUGAUGAGAUUGUGCAGAGCGAAAGGAGCACUUUGGAAGAAAUCAAGAGACUGAGGUUAUUAUGUGCAUCUCCAAUCUUCCGCAAACGGAAACCCUAAUACUAACCGUCGAUUCAACAUGCAAGCUUGAGCAGAAACAUGUCUUUAAUUCAAUAUGCCAUCGAUUGAUUCGAUUCAACAUGCGCAGCAUCUACAGUCUUCGGCUAUUGUUGUGGCUUCAAAUUGCAGAGAGAGGAUGAGAAGGGUAUUGCCAUGGCUCCAGAUUUGGCUUUUGCCGUGGAAUUGCGGUGUGAGAGAAAGGAAGGAGGGCUAUUGGGUUUAGUUGAUGAGAAGGAUUCGAGAGGUGAAAGGGAGAGAAGGGACAACAAGAGGUGAGACUGUGAGAGGGAGAGAAGGGUCACUGAUUGUUGAGAUGAGGAAAUUUUGAAGGAAGCUUCAAGCUUCAAGCUUCUUUAAAAAAGUUAACCUUAAAAUGUCAUCCUAUGUUGUAGAAAACAACAUACAUAUGAGAUUAAUAAAUCGGUUCAUUUUUUUAGGUUUUUUCCCUGAAUCAACCAAACCAAACCGUCAAAUGGAAAUUCUCAAAAAAUAAUAACUGAAACCGAACCAUCAAAAAAUCAAUCUGAAAAAUUGAAUUUUAAUAGUUCGGUUUGGGUUUUCAGUUACAAUAGAAAACUGCUUAGCUUACUUAUAUCAUAAAUGAAUAUAUGCAAAACACAAAUACAGAACACCUCUGCUCAUGUGUUGAGCCCUCUCACUCUCUCUAAAUCAGUAUAGCCACCAUUAGAAUAAGUCAUAAGUUGUGUAGAUCAUGGUGUAACCCAAUUUGUGGUUGCAUCUUUCAUCCAGUACACCAACUUUCUCACAUGGUCUAUCACUUCUGCUACGAAUAAGAACUUCUGACGUUGGGAUAAGAGCUUUCCUGGUUGGUACCCGUGAACCUACAAACCUUAUCUAGAUUUUGUGAUUUUUUAAUGUUUUUCAUGAUCUUUAUAAUUUAAUGUGUUUUUUCUAAGAAAUCAGAAAAUAUAAUUCAUAUUAAUUAAUCUGUGAGCACAAAUUCACAAAAUUUUAUUUUGUUGUAUAUUCUAUGUUGUUUGUUUUACACAGUAAAAUUUAAUGUUAUUU
rnacentral:misc_RNA from 1 species